CGCACCUUGCACCCUUUGGUAUUCCGAAGGGUAUGCCUGUUUGAGUGUCAUUAAAUUCUCAAAAUCAAAUCUUUUGGUUUUGGACUUGAGGUUUGCUGGCUUUGAGUCGGCUCCCUUUAAAUGCAUGAGUGGCUUUGCCUGCAUAUUAUAAGAUUGUAAUUUGCAUCUUUUAAUUGCACUGACUUGCUGCUAUCUAACUGUUUCCUUUGAAACAAUUUGAACCAUUUGACCUCAAAUCAGGUAGGACUACCCGCUGAACUUAA
rnacentral:misc_RNA from 1 species